UUCUUGUCUUAUUUAGCUGAGAACUUAGAGCUGCCUUAGUUGCAUGAACCUUCUAUGCAGGUGCUGUUCCCUCUUUAAAUGAGGCUUCAAACUUUGUACUCCUGCUCUUGCUCGUGUCCCAUCUGUUUAUACUUGCAAACAUUUUGAAACAAAUGCUUGCUACUCCCGUGAGUGGGAUGUAUAGUUCUGAGUGCUUCUUAGAUGGCUCUUCUAAGAUGUAAGUUUAGCCACUAACUCAGAAAUUCUGAAAGAUGAGUUAAAGAAGUGGAACAAGGACUGUUUUGGCAAUGUCGAAGAAGGAUAAAGUGCAAUCAGCGAUAAGAUGGAGACUUUGGAUGCCAAUUAAGAUUGUGGCUGCUGUAGCAGAAGAAAUUAUGGAAAGAUUUUCCUCGAAAAGUCAGCUCCAAGAGGCGUGAUUAGAUUAAGGGCCUGUUUUGGAUGGGGUGAAGGGUUUUCCCUGCUGGAAAUGGAAAGGGUUCUUUGAUGGGACGGUUCUACCUGAUUAUGAAUGCAAACUAACCAUGUAAAUGUGUUUACCUUUCGGAUUGAAGACAACACAUCAUUUUAUCUCUCCAAUUGUAGGGAGGAAAAUGCUUGUGUACCUCGCCUAGGUAUCUACCGUGUUUACUCAAACGUGGGGCAAAUAGCUCCACAAGCAUGAAAUCCACCCCGUCCAUCGGGUAUACCACCCCUUCUUUGGCCUUGAUCCCAAACAGCAGGCUGAUUUGACACUCAAUUGGGCCACUCCAUAAAAAAGAUACGUAAACCUCUGAAUUCAUGUGCUAUGGCCCACUUGAGUUUUGGAAUGUUGUGAUUUUUAGGUAAUUCUUCACAUAGCAGGUGAAUGGAUUGGAUGGCUUAUAAACAUGCUUGUUGUGGGCCAUCAUAGCAUGAAUAUGUAUGUAUAUGCCACGAUUGUGUGGAGCACCGUAAUAUUUUCGGUUGGAUUUCCACAUUUAUGCAUGCCAAUAUAAAUAGAUGAAAUUGGAAAUGAAAAUACAUUUCCACAGCAAAUGUUGUACAAACCAAACAGGUGAAAGGGAAAUGGAUACAGUAGUUUUUACCUAGGUGAUCCAUGAUCUUAUUUUUACCUUCCCUUUCCAUUACCCCCUCUUGGAUUCACCCUAUCCAAACAGGCCGUAAAGGAAAUUCAUGGAUAGUAGUGUAGUUAAAGGCGAUAGCUGCACCUUCUACAGAAAUACACCUGAAAAAUCUAGGCCAAGGUAUUCAAUAACUGUAAUGGUGGCCAUAAUGGCUAGCCUUAUGGCCAUUCCGAUCAAGGUAUUCAAUAAUGGUUACAGUGGGCAUAACGGCCAGCCUUAUGCCUGGUAUAAUAUGGCUCUGCAACAGUAAAAAAAUAAAUCGAAGGAAGAAUAUGUACUGGCCCAUUACGGCCCUGUACCAGCCCAUUACGGCCGUUAUGGGCCUUAUUUAUUAUUAUUUUUUUUUUCAGAAUGGCCAUUACAGCCCUGUAUUGUAUAACGGCCCCCCACCAUCACCAUUAUGUAACGACCAUAACUGUUAUGUAACCGUUUUUAAUACCAUUGUCACGAUAUCGGCCGUAAUGACUGUUAUGCCCCUAUAAUGGUAAAAAAAUAAAAAAAUUUAAAAAAAUAACAGAAGGAAAUGUAUCAGCCCCAGUAUUGGAUCAUUAUGGGCCAACAUCUGCGCGUUAUGGCCUGUAUUGGUUACAUCCUUUUUUUUUUUUUUCCAAAACGGGCAUGACAGCCCAGUCUCAUGUAAUGGGUUACUGUUACUAGGCACAAUUUUUAUUAAACUUAUUUUAUAUGAUGCGUGUUGUUUACGGAUACCUAUCAAUUUUUUUUUAAAAAAAUUAGUUUUAGCACUAAUACUAAUUUUAACACAUGAAUUGAAACUAACUGUAAAGUUAUUACAUAUUUUAGACAUGCAAUUUCUAAAACCUUACACUAGCUCAAACUUUCCAAUGAAUCCACGAAAACCUAGAAUUUCAAAUUAUCCAAAUUUCCAAACCUAGAAACCCUAAUUUCAUAAGAUUCUAGUUCCUCUUUCUUCUAUAUCGCUAAUUGUCCUAACUUCCCCAAAUCCUAAUCCCAAAUUCCUUAAUCCAAAACUAUAAUUUUGCCAAAAUCCCUAAAAUUUUUGGAACCCUAAAAAUUCAAAUUUUAAUAUCUCCAAAUUCUCCAACCUACAUUUUCCAAUUCCCCUAAAAUCUCCAAUUUGUCUUCUACUUCUUGUAUGACAAAUGGAAACUCUAAUUGCUUUUAAGAAGACAAUGUAGUACUUAAAAUUCUAAUAGAACUAUAGAAGCAAGGAAUUAAUAAGAUGAACUUUAUGAGUUUAUAAAAAAUUUAAGAAAUAUGGGAGAAGACGUAUUUUUCAUAAGUUAAAGCUUUGAUAUAAAAGAAAUAGGGAACCAUUGUUCAAAGGGCAUUUAUAAGGUCUCCUUCCCCCCUAAAGUCUUUCCACCCAUAAUGUGAUGCGAUUUCAUUGGAUUGUGCAGUGGAAUAUGACUUUCUUCGAAUUCGAAAUUGAAAUCCUAAUCCCAAGAUCUCCUCAAUACAAUCAUGUACAAUUUCUAGAAUCAAAGAACUAACUUGAGAAAGUUAUACCUGGAAUUAGACGAUCUGUGUUGAUCUAAUGUCGAUGAUGGUCUCCCAACCUAGGUCUCUUCUCGAUCUAUCCUAGUCAAAGGUAUUCUGUAACGGUAAUGGUAGCCGUAGUGGCCACCACCGUUACCUUUAUGAUACGAGUUGUAACCGUCAUUACGGGCCUCGUAAGGGCUGUUACAAUAUUUUUUUUAUUGAAAGAAAAAUUCCAAAAAACUUGUAUCAGCCCUAUCAUGGAUCGUAAUGGGGCCGUUACGGAGGCUGUAACUAACAGCCUUUACGGGUCAUUUUUUUUCGUAACGGCCAUUACGAUCUCGUAACGUGUAACGGUUGCCAGUGUUACCUUUACAUAAUAGUCUUUAUGGCCCCGUAACGGUUGUUACGAGUUUCAACACACCAUGAUCUCGGUACUGGAGAGAUCUAGAUAGCCCAAGGAAUUUCAUUUGGUAGGUGCCAAGGAAUCUCACAACUACAAGGAUGGACCACACGGAGGUGGAGAAGAUGCGGAAAAGGAUAAAAAACUUCUUCAUUCUUUCUACACACUUCUCUCCUCUCUAAUUUACAUGCCCAAGGGAAAAGGGUGUCUAGGGUUUCUCGUAUCAACUCCUCUGAGAUAGAAUCAAAUAAAUGAGGAGGAAGUUAGGGUUUAAGGAGAAUACCAAUAUGGUACUCUUCCACCCUACACAAUUUUAUAACCUAUUGUGAGGGAAGUGCGUCGAUCUGCCUCAUCUAUGCAUAUACUCAUGAUGCACUCCCUUUACUGCCAUGGUCAUCCACUAAUGAUCAUAUCCCAUGCCAAUCAGAAGUGAACCAUCAGAUUUGGGCCAUCAAGUUAUCACCAAGUGCGAUUAAAGUAGUUUUAACGGUUAAAACAAAACUUUAACAGUUAAAAACCUUUGAAAAAUCAAUUAAAAUAAUUAGAGUGUUGGGCCCAGUGGAAAAACCACUUGAUGAGUCCCUGAUUUAUCCAGAUCAAAGUCAUAAACAUGAUCCUAGGCAAACCAAUGGUCCCUUGUUUGACCGUGCAAGAAUCAACAACUCCCGAUGGAAGUACCUAGUUACAUCCCACUUUAUUGGCCCCCGCAUGGACCUCGUAGGAAGAGCCAAAGCUGACUAAACAAGAUCGUGACUUUUACAUGUCCUUAGGUCUAAGGAUUAAUCAUCUUUCAUGCAUCAUCAAGUCUCAAUCUCACGAUCACAGUCCAAGCUAAUGGGCCCCUAGACUGUUGACUUGAUCUCGAUCCACCAAUGUUAGUGACCAAAGAUCUAAACCUAGAUCCUUUAUUCAUGGCACACUCACACUCCUGUGUAGGGUAAGGGUAAGGGUAAAGCAUAAACUGACACUAGUCAGUUCCCGAUGGUGUAAAUUGUCCAUCCUGACGCAAGAUGACCAUACAUCUCACGAACUGAUGUCCACAGGUGUGUCCCAUGCACCUGUGACGAUCAUGGUCUAACGGGGUACUGAGAUCGAUGGACCACGACUCUUCUAGGUCAAUGACCAUCAUGUCCAAUCUCAAGUUUCCGAGGACUACCAGAGGAAUCACUCCUCAAUAAACUCAUAAUGAAGAUUUAAGGCAACACUAUAUACAGAGGAUGAAUAGUAUGUCCACUAAGGACUCAUGGUCAUCAUGAUCUUUGGCCAAGAUUGCCCUAAUCACAUCCACACGGUUAAUGGAUUAGAGCUCACAUUGGUUUUCCAGGAUACUGGCUCCAACAUAAUGGAUGUCAAAAUACCUCAAAUAUGAUUUCUUUGAGGGAACAAUAAUGGUACCUUAUGACAUUUUGCAGGUGGUACUUGGGCAUAUUAAGGCACUAGGCACGCGCUCUGGUGCACCUUGGCGCUAGGCACCAGAAUGCCCGACCUGGAUCAAUUAGUCUUUUUGGGAGUUGAAGGAAUUGAAGGGCCUUAAAAUCUACAAGACUUGUAGGGGUAUGUCUUAUCCACGUGACGGGGGACACAUCAUGCCAACUCAUGGAUCCCAUAUGUUGUAAUUAAAAACUUCAAAUAAUUGGAUUUUUAUUCCUUCUUUUCUCAGGUUAUGAUAAGUUUUUUUCAUAUUUCUAGCACUUCUCUUUAAAUAAUGGUUUUUCAGUGGUAACUCCAAUUUUGUUAGAAACAAAAUAAGAAAGAGAGAUUAGUCUUGCCUUAACAAG